rnacentral:rRNA from 1 species
GUAGUUGAAUUUUAGCCCUGGCUGGGCGGUCCACCUUUGGAUGGUACUGCUCAGGCUGGGGUUUACCUUUCUGGUGAGCCGUCAUGCCCUUUGCUGGGUGUGGCGGGGAACCAGGACUUUUACCUUGAAAAAAUUAGAGUGUUUAAAGCAGGCCAAUUGCUUGAAUACAUUAGCAUGGAAUAAUGGAAUAGGACCUCGGUUCUAUUUUGUUGGUUUCUAGGACCGAAGUAAUGAUUAAUAGGGAUAGUUGGGGGCAUUAGUAUUUAGUAGCUAGAGGUGAAAUUCUUGGAUUUACGAAAGACUAACUUCUACGAAAGCAUUUGCCAAGGAUGUUUUCAUUAAUCAAGAACGAAAGUUAGGGGAUCGAAGACGAUCAGAUACCGUCGUAGUCUUAACCAUAAACUAUGCCGACUAGGGAUCAGACUGUCGUUAAUUUACUGACGCGUUUGGCACCUUAUGAGAAAUCAAAGUUUUUGGGUUCCGGGGGGAGUAUGGUCGCAAGGCUGAAACUUAAAGGAAUUGACGGAAGGGCACCACCAGGAGUGGAACCUGCGGCUUAAUUUGACUCAACACGGGGAAACUCACCAGGUCCAGACAUAGUAAGGAUUGACAGAUUGAGAGCUCUUUCUUGAUUCUAUGGGUGGUGGUGCAUGGCCGUUCUUAGUUGGUGGAGUGAUUUGUCUGCUUAAUUGCGUUAACGAACGAGACCUUAACCUGCUAACUAGUUAUGCCAACAUUUGUUGGUAGCCAACUUCUUAGAGGGACUGUCGGCAUCAAGCCGACGGAAGUUUGAGGCAAUAACAGGUCUGUUAUGCCCUUAGAUGUCCUGGGCCGCACGCGCGCUACACUGAUGAAGUCAACGAGUUUAUAACCUUGGCCGGAAGGU